rnacentral:tRNA from 1 species
GCUCACCUAGAUCAGUUGGUAGUGCAUGAUACUCUUAAUCUCAGGGUCGUGGGUUCGAGUGCCAUGUUGAGCA